rnacentral:piRNA from 1 species
UGAAUGGUCUACAUAGCAAAAACCUACCUUG